ensembl:lincRNA Gm45168 predicted gene 45168
GUAAGGCUUCCGCAGAGGUCGCCUGCUUUCCUAGCAGUUCCCACGAGCCAGACCCGGGCUGCCACGCAGGGGCAGGGGUCAGGCGUGGAGGCAGACUGUCCCGGUGCCCCCAGCCAGGCCGCUGGCGAGUCUGGCGCCGCCGCCGGGGAGCAGGGGCCCUGAGCUCUCUCCUCAGCGUCUGGACAGGCCGAGGAGGCAGACGAGGCACAAGUGACAGCUGGGAAGGUUUAAUUGCUCCUCAGUGGCUUGGGAGCACCUCCCUCCUUUGCCAGCGAUCUGCAUUUCAAUGUAGGAAGAGUGGAAAGUAAAGUAGGAUUGCCGCUCAAAGGGGUUACAAUGAUUAAUCAUUUAAAAAGCAAGAUCUUAAUUACAGGCCGCAAUUUUUGCUAUUUAAGGAGUCCAUUAGUUGCCAGAAAGAAGAAAAAAAUUAUCACAGUAAGCUGAUGUCCUGAUCCUCGGGCGACUAAAGCGUCGAAGAUCCCGUUCCUCAAGCUCUCCGCACCCUUCACAGUGAGCACACCUCUGUCGUUGGCACCAGCCCAGGAGGUCCAGCCCUGCACUCCACGUGAUGGACGGCACCUUUAUCCCAGAAGCCCCGGCAGGCAACAAAGGGGCCACCCAGUGUAGAAGUUGAUCUGGGGGUGUCAGAUCCCACCCCAGCCCUGAACUGCAACUUUUGGGGGACACUACCAGUGCAACCGUUAACCUCAAUGACUGUAAAGUGUAAGCUGCACCCGGG